CGCUCACCUGAUUCUACUUGGGUUUUUGAAAUCAUAUAAAAAAAUAUAAAAUUUGGCUAAAAGUGACAACACAACCUCAUUUAUAAGGAAAGGAACAUGUUUAAUUUCAUUCAAAAGUCCCCACUGGCAGCCAUCUUGGAUGACGGAUCGGCUACAAAGUAACAACACUUGGUCAGCACCUCAUAAGGAACAUUCAUGCCAUGUUUGGUUUUAUUCCAUUCAGUGGUUCUCUAAAAGAAGUCAUUUGUAUGCAUUUCCCAUAGGGUCCUAUGUUAAACUAAGUCCCCUGCUGGCGGCCAUCUUGGAUGAUGGAUCGGCUACAAAGUAACAACACUUGGUC
rnacentral:lncRNA from 1 species